rnacentral:rRNA from 1 species
GACGAACGCUGGCGGCGUGCUUAACACAUGCAAGUCGAACGGAAAGGCCCUGCUUUUGUGGGGUGCUCGAGUGGCGAACGGGUGAGUAACACGUGAGUAACCUGCCCUUGACUUUGGGAUAACUUCAGGAAACUGGGGCUAAUACCGGCUAGGCGCUCCUGCUGCAUGGUGGGGGUUGGAAAGUUUCGGCGGUUGGGGAUGGACUCGCGGCUUAUCAGCUUGUUGGUGGGGUAGUGGCUUACCAAGGCUUUGACGGGUAGCCGGCCUGAGAGGGUGACCGGCCACAUUGGGACUGAGAUACGGCCCAGACUCCUACGGGAGGCAGCAGUGGGGAAUAUUGCACAAUGGGCGGAAGCCUGAUGCAGCAACGCCGCGUGCGGGAUGACGGCCUUCGGGUUGUAAACCGCUUUCGCCUGUGACGAAGCGUGAGUGACGGUAAUGGGUAAAGAAGCACCGGCUAACUACGUG